UGAGGAAUAUUGGUCAAUGGGCGAGAGCCUGAACCAGCCAAGUAGCGUGAAGGAUGAAGGUCCUAUGGAUUGUAAACUUCUUUUAUAUGGGAAUAAAACCUUCCACGAGUGGAAGUUUGUAUGUACCUUAUGAAUAAGCAUCGGCUAACUCCGUGCCAGCAGCCGCGGUAAUACGGAGGAUGCGAGCGUUAUCCGGAUUUAUUGGGUUUAAAGGGAGCGCAGACGGGAUGUUAAGUCAGCUGUGAAAGUUUGGGGCUCAACCUUAAAAUUGCAGUUGAUACUGUCAUUCUUGAGUGCAGUUGAGGUAGGCGGAAUUCGUGGUGUAGCGGUGAAAUGCUUAGAUAUCACGAAGAACUCCGAUUGCGAAGGCAGCUUACUAAACUGUAACUGACGUUCAUGCUCGAAAGUGUGGGUAUCAAACA
rnacentral:rRNA from 1 species